GAUCAUGGCUCAGGAUGAACGCUAGCUACAGGCUUAACACAUGCAAGUCGCGGGGCAGCAUGAAGGAUGCUUGCAUCUUUUGAUGGCGACCGGCGCACGGGUGAGUAACGCGUAUCCAACCUGGCCUGUUACCAACGGCACAGCCCGUCGAAAGGCGGAUUAAUGCCGUAUGUGGUCCUUUGCGGGCAUCUAAUUAAGGACUAAAGGUUCGGCGGUAACGGAUGGGGAUGCGUCCGAUUAG
rnacentral:rRNA from 1 species